rnacentral:rRNA from 1 species
CAGCAGCCGCGGGAAUACGUAGGUGGCAAGCGUUGUCCGGAAUUAUUGGGCGUAAAGGGCUCGCAGGCGGUUUCUUAAGUCUGAUGUGAAAGCCCCCGGCUCAACCGGGGAGGGUCAUUGGAAACUGGGAAACUUGAGUGCAGAAGAGGAGGGUGGAAUUCCACGUGUAGCGGUGAAAUGCGUAGAGAUGUGGAGGAACACCAGUGGCGAAGGCGACUCUCUGGUCUGUAACUGACGCUGAGGAGCGAAAGCGUGGGGAGCGAACAGGAUUAGAUACCCCUGUAGUCCCUGUCUCUUAUAC